UACGUAGGGCGCAAGCGUUAUCCGGAUUUAUUGGGCGUAAAGAGCUCGUAGGCGGUUUGUCGCGUCUAUCGUGAAAGUCCGAGGCUCAACCUCGGAUCUGCGGUGGGUACGGGCAGACUAGAGUGAUGUAGGGGAGACUGGAAUUCCUGGUGUAGCGGUGAAAUGCGCAGAUAUCAGGAGGAACACCGAUGGCGAAGGCAGGUCUCUGGGCGUUUACUGACGCUGAGGAGCGAAAGCAUGGGGAGCGAACAGG
rnacentral:rRNA from 1 species